rnacentral:rRNA from 1 species
AUUGAACGCUGGCGGCAGGCCUAACACAUGCAAGUCGAGCGGGGUUUUCGGACCUAGCGGCGGACGGGUGAGUAAUGCGUAGGAAGCUACCCGAUAGAGGGGGAUACCAGUUGGAAACGACUGUUAAUACCGCAUAAUGUCUACGGACCAAAGUGUGAGACCUUCGGGCCGCAUGCUAUCGGAUGCGCCUACGUGGGAUUAGCUAGUUGGUGGGGUAAUGGCUCACCAAGGCGACGAUCCCUAGCUGGUUUGAGAGGAUGAUCAGCCACACUGGAACUGAGACACGGUCCAGACUCCUACGGGAGGCAGCAGUGGGGAAUAUUGGACAAUGGGCGCAAGCCUGAUCCAGCCAUGCCGCGUGUGUGAAGAAGGCCUUCGGGUUGUAAAGCACUUUCAGUAGGGAGGAAGCGUUGCGUGUUAAUAGUACACAGCGUUGACGUUACCUACAGAAGAAGCACCGGCUAACUCUGUGCCAGCCGCCGCCGUAAAAC